UCUUCUAUAAAAUCAGAUUCUCAAAAUCUCAUCAAAUUUAAUUACAACAGAUGUAGUCAAUGGAAUCUUCCAGCAGAUUCGUUGUUCAUUACUUCCCAUACAUUUGUCAAUCACUCAGAUUCAUUUUUUUUCCGGGUAAAAGGUUAAAAAUUUACAGAAAAAACGAAAAAAAAUAAAAACACUUAAUGAAAAAUUUAAAAACAACAUUACAACUCAAAAUGUUACUGAUCGCAAAUGAGUGCACAUGAUCAAGUUGUAGGAAGAAACACC
rnacentral:lncRNA from 1 species